GACGAACGCUGGCGGCGUGCUUAACACAUGCAAGUCGAACGGAAAGGCCCUGCUUUUGUGGGGUGCUCGAGUGGCGAACGGGUGAGUAACACGUGAGUAACCUGCCCUUGACUUUGGGAUAACUUCAGGAAACUGGGGCUAAUACCGGAUAGGAGCUCCUGCUGCAUGGUGGGGGUUGGAAAGUUUCGGCGGUUGGGGAUGGACUCGCGGCUUAUCAGCUUGUUGGUGGGGUAGUGGCUUACCAAGGCUUUGACGGGUAGCCGGCCUGAGAGGGUGACCGGCCACAUUGGGACUGAGAUACGGCCCAGACUCCUACGGGAGGCAGCAGUGGGGAAUAUUGCACAAUAGGCGGAAGCCUGAUGCAGCAACGCCGCGUGCGGGAUGACGGCCUUCGGGUUGUAAUCCGCUUUCGCCUGUGACGAAGCGUGAGUGACGGUAAUGGGUAAAGAAGCACCGGCUAACUACGUG
rnacentral:rRNA from 1 species